UCAGAAAUUAAAGAAGUCACACGUGAUUGGAUAAAUUUCAAAAAAAAAAUUGUUCAGGAAACGAAUAUCAAACCGAUAAGCCCAAAAUAACAGUACCACGUGGCGGCCAAUCCCAUCAAAUGACGCUACAAAUCUCUCCCUAGAUCCACGUCUUCAUCGGACCAUCCACGCGUCCUCAUCCGCUUAUGCAACCAACACCAUACACCCCACUCUGAACCACGAGCGUGAACCAAACGUGCGGCAAGAAGUGACUGCACAAUGUUCUCCACGCGCGUAAAAGAGAGUGGAAUAUUAAAGGCACCUGUUGUUUUGGUAGCAAGAUGAAGAUGUUGUGUGGUAAUAAGAGUCCACCACGUUGCACUUUCUCGAAGCUGCCUAAAAGUGUUUUCAUUUAAAAUUUUUAUUUUAUUUUAAAAAUUUGACACAACAGCAACAGCGCGUUAUUCUCAAGGACCAAAAAGCCCAGGUGUACCAUUCUGUCGGUCAGUGCUGGGUACGUUCUGAUUUCUCAAUGGCUGAGACGUGGGACCAGGGCUAACGUUCGAUUACGUGGGAUCAUGCUACUUUGGG
rnacentral:lncRNA from 1 species